AUUUUGUUCUUCCGAAAGGGUUGCCGCAAGGGUUUGUGGUGCUUUAUCGGUUUUAUCGCACCUGCACUUGGUAGCUCCAUGUUCUGUGUCCACCACACAAUUUGAUUUUGGUGUUUCCUCUGCCGCUCGAACACUCGAGAAAAAUGACGGGCCGUCAUAGUGCAUAGACGUGCUUGCAAGAAGUACCAGUAGAGUCACUCCCAUUCGGAAAUUGUGUGACAAUUUCCGUUGUGCCCCGUAAUUCAGAGACAUCUUCGACGUCGUUGUCGUCGUACCCUGCGAAUGCGCGCACCACGAGAUCGAGCCUCGUGUCAUAUGGCUACAAUACAGCAAGUCACGUCCGAGCGGAUCAGCGUGCGACUCCCGUCAACUGGUGGUAGACUGAGAUCUAUCACGUGCUCUGAUCUUCCAGAGUAACACGCCCGUGUAUCUUCGAGGAAGUCGUGAGAGCAUGUGAUUUUCUGAAGCCCCAAUGCAGUAGGGCUGUUGACGGGGUCGGGUCUCAAAGUCGGGGAACAAUUGGGGAGCGCCUGAUGACGCCGGUGGGAAGACGUGCUUUCUGCAUGCAGCGGGCCCGCUAGCGGGUGCUAGCAGGUCCCUUCUCCACGAUUACAUUUUCUGAGGCUGUGGUGGUGGUGGAGAGAGUAGUUCGUCCUCUGAAAGGAAGGAAACGCUUUUAUGAGUUCAGGUUUACCGCGUCAUGCUUCGAGUUGUUGAUGUUUGUCGCCUGGCGGCAGCCGCCGCGCUCACGACAACCCCUGACCGUUACUGAAUCGUUUCUUGGUCGUGGCUCUGUACACGUGAUUUGGAUCUUUUCCUUUGCUAGCUUCGACACUGUAGCGGAAGGCAGCUUGUGUGGAUCAAGACACCUGGUUAGUGCAC
rnacentral:lncRNA from 1 species